AUUGAACGCUGGCGGCAUGCUUUACACAUGCAAGUCGAACGGUAACAGGCCGCAAGGUGCUGACGAGUGGCGAACGGGUGAGUAAGGCGUCGGAACGUGCCCAGUCGUGGGGGAUAACGCAGCGAAAGCUGUGCUAAUACCGCAUACGAUCUAUGGAUGAAAGCGGGGGACCGUAAGGCCUCGCGCGAUUGGAGCGGCCGAUGUCAGAUUAGGUAGUUGGUGGGGUAAAGGCCUACCAAGCCGACGAUCUGUAGCUGGUCUGAGAGGACGACCAGCCACACUGGGACUGAGACACGGCCCAGACUCCUACGGGAGGCAGCAGUGGGGAAUUUUGGACAAUGGGCGCAAGCCUGAUCCAGCAAUGCCGCGUGCAGGAAGAAGGCCUUCGGGUUGUAAACUGCUUUUGUACGGAACGAAACGGUCUGGGUUAAUACCCCGGGCUAAUGACGGUACCGUAAGAAUAAGCACCGGCUAACUACGUGCCAGCCGCCGCAGUAACAC
rnacentral:rRNA from 1 species